rnacentral:rRNA from 1 species
AACGAACGCUGGCGGCAGGCCUAACACAUGCAAGUCGAACGCCCUAGCAAUAGGGAGUGGCAGACGGGUGAGUAACACGUGGGAACCUUCCCUAUAGUACGGAAUAUACCAGGGAAACUUGGAGCAAUACCGUAUACGCCCGAGAGGGGAAAGAUUUAUCGCUAUAGGAUGGGCCCGCGUAGGAUUAGCUAGUUGGUGAGGUAAUGGCUCACCAAGGCGACGAUCCUUAGCUGGUUUGAGAGAACGACCAGCCACACUGGGACUGAGACACGGCCCAGACUCCUACGGGAGGCAGCAGUGGGGAAUAUUGGACAAUGGGCGCAAGCCUGAUCCAGCCAUGCCGCGUGAGUGAUGAAGGCCUUAGGGUUGUAAAGCUCUUUUGCCGGGGACGAUAAUGACGGUACCCGGAGAAUAAGUCCCGGCUAACUUCGUGCCAGCCGCCGCUGUAAU